GACGAACGCUGGCGGCGUGCCUAAUACAUGCAAGUCGAACGAGAGCGACCGGUGCUUGCACUGGUCAAUCUAGUGGCGAACGGGUGAGUAACACGUGGGUAACCUGCCCAUCAGAGGGGGAUAACAUCCGGAAACGGAUGCUAAAACCGCAUAGGUCUUCGAGCCGCAUGGCUUGAAGAGGAAAAGAGGCGCAAGCUUCUGCUGAUGGAUGGACCCGCGGUGCAUUAGCUAGUUGGUGAGGUAACGGCUCACCAAGGCCGUGAUGCAUAGCCGACCUGAGAGGGUGAUCGGCCACAUUGGGACUGAGACACGGCCCAAACUCCUACGGGAGGCAGCAGUAGGGAAUCUUCCGCAAUGGACGCAAGUCUGACGGAGCAACGCCGCGUGAGUGAAGAAGAUUUUCGGAUCGUAAAACUCUGUUGUUAGAGAAGAACAAGUGCUAGAGUAACUGUUAGCGCCUUGACG
rnacentral:rRNA from 1 species